UACGGGGGGGGCAAGCGUUGUUCGGAAUUACUGGGCGUAAAGGGCUCGUAGGUGGCCAACUAAGUCAGACGUGAAAUCCCUCAGCUUAACUGGGGAACUGCGUCUGAUACUGGAUGGCUUGAAUCCGGGAGAGGGAUGCAGAAUUCCAGGUGUAGCGGUGAAAUGCGUAGAUAUCUGGAGGAAUACCGGUGGCGAAGGCGGCAUCCUGGACCGGGAUUGACACUGAGGAGCGAAAGCUAGGGGAGCAAACGGG
rnacentral:rRNA from 1 species